rnacentral:rRNA from 1 species
AACGAACGCUGGCGGCAUGCCUAACACAUGCAAGUCGAACGAGACCUUCGGGUCUAGUGGCGCACGGGUGCGUAACACGUGGGAAUCUGCCCUUUGCUUCGGAAUAACAGUUAGAAAUGACUGCUAAUACCGGAUGAUGUCGAAAGACCAAAGAUUUAUCGGCAAAGGAUGAGCCCGCGUAGGAUUAGGUAGUUGGUGGGGUAAAGGCCUACCAAGCCGACGACCCUUAGCUGGUCUGAGAGGAUGAUCAGCCACACUGGGACUGAGACACGGCCCAGACUCCUACGGGAGGCAGCAGUGGGGAAUAUUGGACAAUGGGCGAAAGCCUGAUCCAGCAAUGCCGCGUGAGUGAUGAAGGCCUUAGGGUUGUAAAGCUCUUUUACCAGGGAUGAUAAUGACAGUACCUGGAGAAUAAGCUCCGGCUAACUCCGUG